CGGAGGGUGCAAGCGUUAUCCGGAUUCACUGGGUUUAAAGGGUGCGUAGGUGGGCUAGUAAGUCCGUGGUGAAAUCUCUGAGCUUAACUCGGAAACUGCCGUGGAUACUAUUAGUCUUGAGUCUCGUGGAGGUAAGCGGAACAUGUCAUGUAGCGGUGAAAUGCUUAGAUAUGACAUAGAACACCGAUAGCGAAGGCAGCUUGCUACACGAGUAUUGACACUGAGGCACGAAAGCGUGGGGAUCAAACAGGAUUAGAUACCCUGGUAGUCCACGCCCUAAACGAUGGAUACUCGACAUACGCGAUACACAGUGUGUGUCUGAGCGAAAGCAUUAAGUAUCCCACCUGGGAAGUACGACCGCAAGGUUG
rnacentral:rRNA from 1 species